rnacentral:rRNA from 1 species
UACGUAGGGUGCAAGCGUUGUCCGGAAUUAUUGGGCGUAAAGAGCUCGUAGGCGGUCUGUUGCGUCGGCUGUGAAAACCCGGGGCUCAACCCCGGGCCUGCAGCCGAUACGGGCAGACUAGAGUUCGGCAGGGGAGACUGGAAUUCCUGGUGUAGCGGUGAAAUGCGCAGAUAUCAGGAGGAACACCGAUGGCGAAGGCAGCUCGCUGGGACGGUACUGACGCUGAGGCGCGAAAGCGUGGGGAGCAAACAGG